rnacentral:lncRNA from 1 species
UUGGGGACGUUGGGGGCAUGUUGAGGACACCAGGGGUGUUGGGGACAUUGGGCACAUGGAGGAUGCUGGGAACCCUGAGGAUGUUGGGGAGAAAGGGGACAUUUGGGACACGGGGGACGUUGGGGAUGCUGGAGACGUUGAGGACAUCAGUGAUGUUGAGGGCAUGAGGAUGUUGGAGACUUCAGGGACAUCGGGGAUGUUGGGUCAUUGGGCACGCUGAAGAUGGGGGUAUUGGGGACACUGAGGAUAUUGGGGACAUGGGGGAUAUUGGGGACAUUGAGGACAUCAGGGAUGUCACGGACAUUGGAGAUAUUGAGGAUGUUGGAGACGUUGAGGCUAUCAGGGACGUUGGGGACACUGAGGAUACUGGGGAUGAGGGACAUCGGGGAUGUUGGGCACAUGGAGGACAUCAAGGAUUUUGGGGACACUGAGGAUGUUGGGGACAUUGGGGGCCUAGGGGAUAUUGUGGACAGUGAGGAUGUUGGGCAUAUGGGGGACAAUUGGGACAUUGGGGACAUGAGGGAUGUGGGGGACAUGGGGGCCAUCAGGGCUGUGGAGGCCAUGGAGGAUGUUGAAGGUGUUGGGACCAUGGGAGACAUCAGGGACACAGGGAAGAGCAGGGCCGUGGAAGCCAUGGGAGAUGCUGGAGGUGGUGGGACCCCAGGGGGACGUCGUGGACGUGGGGAAGAGCAGGGCCAUGGAAGCCAUGGGAGAUGGUGGAGGUGGUGGGACCCCGGGGGGACGUUGUGGAUGUGGGAAAGAGCAGGGCCGUGGAAGCCAUGGGAGAUGCUGGGGGGGGGGGGGCCGUGGGCGUGUCCUCUGUGUCACCCGUGUCCUCCAUGUCCCCCAUGUCACCUCCAUGUCACUCCAGGUCCCCCCCAUGUUGUCCCGUAUCCUCCCGUAUCCCCCACUUUGCCCAUAUCCCGGUGGUCCCGUGUCCUCACGCAUCUCCUCGUGUCCUCUGUGUCACCCGUGUCCUCCAUGUCCCCCAUGUCACCUCCAUGUCACUCCAGGUCCCCCCCAUGUUGUCCCGUAUCCUCCCGUAUCCCCCACUUUGCCCAUAUCCCGGUGGUCCCGUGUCCUCACGCAUCUCCUCGUGUCCUCUGUGUCACCCGUGUCCUCCAUGUCCCCCAUGUCACCUCCAUGUCACUCCAGGUCCCCCCCAUGUUGUCCCGUAUCCUCCCGUAUCCCCCACUUUGCCCAUAUCCCGGUGGUCCCGUGUCCUCACGCAUCUCCUCGUGUCCUCUGUGUCACCCGUGUCCUCCAUGUCCCCCAUGUCACCUCCAUGUCACUCCAGGUCCCCCCCAUGUUGUCCCGUAUCCUCCCGUAUCCCCCACUUUGCCCAUAUCCCGGUGGUCCCGUGUCCUCACGCAUCUCCUCGUGUCCUCUGUGUCACCCGUGUCCUCCAUGUCCCCCAUGUCACCUCCAUGUCACUCCAGGUCCCCCCCAUGUUGUCCCGUAUCCUCCCGUAUCCCCCACUUUGCCCAUAUCCCGGUGGUCCCGUGUCCUCACGCAUCUCCUCGUGUCCUCUGUGUCACCCGUGUCCUCCAUGUCCCCCAUGUCACCUCCAUGUCACUCCAGGUCCCCCCCAUGUUGUCCCGUAUCCUCCCGUAUCCCCCACUUUGCCCAUAUCCCGGUGGUCCCGUGUCCUCACGCAUCUCCUCGUGUCCUCUGUGUCACCCGUGUCCUCCAUGUCCCCCAUGUCACCUCCAUGUCACUCCAGGUCCCCCCCAUGUUGUCCCGUAUCCUCCCGUAUCCCCCACUUUGCCCAUAUCCCGGUGGUCCCGUGUCCUCACGCAUCUCCUCGUGUCCUCUGUGUCACCCGUGUCCUCCAUGUCCCCCAUGUCACCUCCAUGUCACUCCAGGUCCCCCCCAUGUUGUCCCGUAUCCUCCCGUAUCCCCCACUUUGCCCAUAUCCCGGUGGUCCCGUGUCCUCACGCAUCUCCUCGUGUCCUCUGUGUCACCCGUGUCCUCCAUGUCCCCCAUGUCACCUCCAUGUCACUCCAGGUCCCCCCCAUGUUGUCCCGUAUCCUCCCGUAUCCCCCACUUUGCCCAUAUCCCGGUGGUCCCGUGUCCUCACGCAUCUCCUCGUGUCCUCUGUGUCACCCGUGUCCUCCAUGUCCCCCAUGUCACCUCCAUGUCACUCCAGGUCCCCCCCAUGUUGUCCCGUAUCCUCCCGUAUCCCCCACUUUGCCCAUAUCCCGGUGGUCCCGUGUCCUCACGCAUCUCCUCGUGUCCUCUGUGUCACCCGUGUCCUCCAUGUCCCCCAUGUCACCUCCAUGUCACUCCAGGUCCCCCCCAUGUUGUCCCGUAUCCUCCCGUAUCCCCCACUUUGCCCAUAUCCCGGUGGUCCCGUGUCCUCACGCAUCUCCUCGUGUCCUCUGUGUCACCCGUGUCCUCCAUGUCCCCCAUGUCACCUCCAUGUCACUCCAGGUCCCCCCCAUGUUGUCCCGUAUCCUCCCGUAUCCCCCACUUUGCCCAUAUCCCGGUGGUCCCGUGUCCUCACGCAUCUCCUCGUGUCCUCUGUGUCACCCGUGUCCUCCAUGUCCCCCAUGUCACCUCCAUGUCACUCCAGGUCCCCCCCAUGUUGUCCCGUAUCCUCCCGUAUCCCCCACUUUGCCCAUAUCCCGGUGGUCCCGUGUCCUCACGCAUCUCCUCGUGUCCUCUGUGUCACCCGUGUCCUCCAUGUCCCCCAUGUCACCUCCAUGUCACUCCAGGUCCCCCCCAUGUUGUCCCGUAUCCUCCCGUAUCCCCCACUUUGCCCAUAUCCCGGUGGUCCCGUGUCCUCACGCAUCUCCUCGUGUCCUCUGUGUCACCCGUGUCCUCCAUGUCCCCCAUGUCACCUCCAUGUCACUCCAGGUCCCCCCCAUGUUGUCCCGUAUCCUCCCGUAUCCCCCACUUUGCCCAUAUCCCGGUGGUCCCGUGUCCUCACGCAUCUCCUCGUGUCCUCUGUGUCACCCGUGUCCUCCAUGUCCCCCAUGUCACCUCCAUGUCACUCCAGGUCCCCCCCAUGUUGUCCCGUAUCCUCCCGUAUCCCCCACUUUGCCCAUAUCCCGGUGGUCCCGUGUCCUCACGCAUCUCCUCGUGUCCUCUGUGUCACCCGUGUCCUCCAUGUCCCCCAUGUCACCUCCAUGUCACUCCAGGUCCCCCCCAUGUUGUCCCGUAUCCUCCCGUAUCCCCCACUUUGCCCAUAUCCCGGUGGUCCCGUGUCCUCACGCAUCUCCUCGUGUCCUCUGUGUCACCCGUGUCCUCCAUGUCCCCCAUGUCACCUCCAUGUCACUCCAGGUCCCCCCCAUGUUGUCCCGUAUCCUCCCGUAUCCCCCACUUUGCCCAUAUCCCGGUGGUCCCGUGUCCUCACGCAUCUCCUCGUGUCCUCUGUGUCACCCGUGUCCUCCAUGUCCCCCAUGUCACCUCCAUGUCACUCCAGGUCCCCCCCAUGUUGUCCCGUAUCCUCCCGUAUCCCCCACUUUGCCCAUAUCCCGGUGGUCCCGUGUCCUCACGCAUCUCCUCGUGUCCUCUGUGUCACCCGUGUCCUCCAUGUCCCCCAUGUCACCUCCAUGUCACUCCAGGUCCCCCCCAUGUUGUCCCGUAUCCUCCCGUAUCCCCCACUUUGCCCAUAUCCCGGUGGUCCCGUGUCCUCACGCAUCUCCUCGUGUCCUCUGUGUCACCCGUGUCCUCCAUGUCCCCCAUGUCACCUCCAUGUCACUCCAGGUCCCCCCCAUGUUGUCCCGUAUCCUCCCGUAUCCCCCACUUUGCCCAUAUCCCGGUGGUCCCGUGUCCUCACGCAUCUCCUCGUGUCCUCUGUGUCACCCGUGUCCUCCAUGUCCCCCAUGUCACCUCCAUGUCACUCCAGGUCCCCCCCAUGUUGUCCCGUAUCCUCCCGUAUCCCCCACUUUGCCCAUAUCCCGGUGGUCCCGUGUCCUCACGCAUCUCCUCGUGUCCUCUGUGUCACCCGUGUCCUCCAUGUCCCCCAUGUCACCUCCAUGUCACUCCAGGUCCCCCCCAUGUUGUCCCGUAUCCUCCCGUAUCCCCCACUUUGCCCAUAUCCCGGUGGUCCCGUGUCCUCACGCAUCUCCUCGUGUCCCCCGGGUCCCCCAUGUCACCAUGGGUCCCUCCCAUGUUGUCCCGUAUCCUCCUGUAUCCCCCACUUUGCCCAUAUCCCGGUGGUCCCGUGUCCUCAUGUAUCUCCUCGUGUCCCCCCGUGUCCCCCCCAUGUCACCAUGGGUCCCCAAGGGUCCCUCUUGUGUUGUCCCGUGUCACCCCAUACGCUCCGCGUCACCCAUAGCCCAGCAUCCCCGCGUCCUCCCGCGUGUCCUCCUGUCCCACCGAGUCCCCUGGGUGUCCCCGCAGGUCACAACGUGUCCCCACGGGUCCCCCCCCAGGUUGUCCCAUGUC